rnacentral:rRNA from 1 species
GACGUAGGGCGCGAGCGUUGUCCGGAAUUAUUGGGCGUAAAGAGCUCGUAGGCGGUCUGUCACGUCGGCUGUGAAAACCCGAGGCUCAACCUCGGGCCUGCAGUCGAUACGGGCAAACUAGAGUACUGCAGGGGAGAGUGGAAUUCCUGGUGUAGCGGUGAAAUGCGCAGAUAUCAGGAGGAACACCGGUGGCGAAGGCGGGUCUCUGGGCAGUAACUGACGCUGAGGAGCGAAAGCGUGGGGAGCGAACAGG